UGCAAAGUCAACUGGCCUACGGUGUGUUCGCGGAUUGAAAUGGGAGGCCUUGGGCUGCAUGACCUGCGCAAAUUCAGCUUGGCCCUGCGGAUGCGAUGGCUCUGGCUCUCUUAGACUCAUCGGGGCAAGCCUUGGAUUGGAACUGUCCUGCCCUGCGAUGACAAGGACAGACAACUCUUCAAU
rnacentral:rRNA from 1 species